GCCGGAAUAGCUCAGUGGUAGAGCAGCGCUUUCGUAAAGCGAAGGUCGCGAGUUCGACUCUCGCUUCCGGCU
rnacentral:tRNA from 1 species